GGGAGCCGCAGGGAAACCGAGUCUUAACUGGGCGUUAAGUUGCAGGGUAUAGACCCGAAACCCGGUGAUCUAGCCAUGGGCAGGUUGAAGGUUGGGUAACACUAACUGGAGGACCGAACCGACUAAUGUUGAAAAAUUAGCGGAUGACUUGUGGCUGGGGGUGAAAGGCCAAUCAAACCGGGAGAUAGCUGGUUCUCCCCGAAAGCUAUUUAGGUAGCGCCUCGUGAAUUCAUCUUCGGGGGUAGAGCACUGUUUCGGCUAGGGGGUCAUCCCGACUUACCAACCCGAUGCAAACUACGAAUACCGAAGAAUGUUAUCACGGGAGACACACGGCGGGUGCUAACGUCCGUCGUGAAGAGGGAAACAACCCAGACCGCCAGCUAAGGUCCCAAAGUCAUGGUUAAGUGGGAAACGAUGUGGGAAGGCACAGACAGCCAGGAUGUUGGCUUAGAAGCAGCCAUCAUUUAAAGAAAGCGUAAUAGCUCACUGGUCGAGUCGGCCUGCGCGGAAGAUGUAACGGGGCUAAACCAUGCACCGAAGCUGCGGCAGCGACACUAUGUGUUGUUGGGUAGGGGAGCGUUCUGUAAGCCUGCGAAGGUGACCUGUGAGGGUUGCUGGAGGUAUCAGAAGUGCGAAUGCUGACAUAAGUAACGAUAAAGCGGGUGAAAAGCCCGCUCGCCGGAAGACCAAGGGUUCCUGUCCAACGUUAAUCGGGGCAGGGUGAGUCGACCCCUAAGGCGAGGCCGAAAGGCGUAGUCGAUGGGAAACAGGUUAAUAUUCCUGUACUUGGUGUUACUGCGAAGGGGGGACGGAGAAGGCUAUGUUAGCCGGGCGACGGUUGUCCCGGUUUAAGCAUGUAGGCUGGUUAUCCAGGCAAAUCCGGAUAAUCAAGGCUGAGGUGUGAUGACGAGGCACUACGGUGCUGAAGUAACAAAUGCCCUGCUUCCAGGAAAAGCCUCUAAGCAUCAGGUAACAUCAAAUCGUACCCCAAACCGACACAGGUGGUCAGGUAGAGAAUACCAAGGCGCUUGAGAGAACUCGGGUGAAGGAACUAGGCAAAAUGGUGCCGUAACUUCGGGAGAAGGCACGCUGGUGUGUAGGUGAAGUCCCUGCGGAUGGAGCUGAGACCAGUCGAAGAUACCAGCUGGCUGCAACUGUUUAUUAAAAACACAGCACUGUGCAAACACGAAAGUGGACGUAUACGGUGUGACGCCUGCCCGGUGCCGGAAGGUUAAUUGAUGGGGUUAUCCGUAAGGAGAAGCUCUUGAUCGAAGCCCCGGUAAACGGCGGCCGUAACUAUAACGGUCCUAAGGUAGCGAAAUUCCUUGUCGGGUAAGUUCCGACCUGCACGAAUGGCGUAAUGAUGGCCAGGCUGUCUCCACCCGAGACUCAGUGAAAUUGAACUCGCUGUGAAGAUGCAGUGUACCCGCGGCAAGACGGAAAGACCCCGUGAACCUUUACUAUAGCUUGACACUGAACAUUGAGCCUUGAUGUGUAGGAUAGGUGGGAGGCUUUGAAGCGUGGACGCCAGUCUGCGUGGAGCCAACCUUGAAAUACCACCCUU
rnacentral:rRNA from 1 species